CCUACGGGUGGCAGCAGUGGGGAAUAUUGCACAAUGGGGGAAACCCUGCUGCAGCGACGCCGCGUGAGUGAAGACGUAAUUCGUUGUGUAAAGCCCUAUCUGCAGGGAAGAAAUUGCCGGUACGUGAAAACGAAGCGCCGGUUAAAUACGUGCCAGCAGCCGCGGUAAUAGGUCUGGCGCACGCGUUACCCGGAUUUAUUGGGUGUAAAGGGAGAGUAGAUGGCAGUGCAAGUCUGGAGUGAAAGCGGGGGGGUCAACCCCCGGACUGCUUUGGAAACUGCACGGCUGGAGUGCAGGAGAGGUAAGUGGAAUUCCUAGUGUAGCGGUGAAAUGCGUAGAUAUUAGGAGGAACACCAGUGGCGAAGGCGGCUUACUGGACUGUAACUGACGCUGAGGCUCGAAAGCGUGGGGAGCAAACAGGAUUAGAUACCCCAGUAGUC
rnacentral:rRNA from 1 species